AACAAGGCACAAAAUGCACAGAAAGGAUUAGAUCCUUCAAGAACAAAAGAUGCAAAAGUGAUAAAGAGGCGGAGAAAAGAAGCCUUCUUUUCUAAGUUAGGCAAGACACCAGUUUCUGUUUCUGACCCUAAUGCUAAGGUUCAUAAAUCUUCAGGCGCAGUGGAUAGUGAAGGGCCCUCUUGGGCUCCAUUACGUGAUAACUUCAUGCUAACAAAUUCCAAGUUGAAAGACUGGGAUAGGAUGCCAGAUAAAGACGCAGC
rnacentral:misc_RNA from 1 species